UACCCUGUAGUUCCGAGCCGUGUAUCGCGCAAAUGAUGGCUCAUACACACUCGGUUACCGGGUGCU
rnacentral:pre_miRNA from 1 species